rnacentral:rRNA from 1 species
ACAAGAUAGCGUAAUACCGGAGUAACAACAACUAGACGCAUGUCUAGAGCUUGAAAGAUGGUUCUGCUAUCACUCUUGGAUGGACCUGCGGUGCAUUAGCUAGUUGGUAAGGUAACGGCUUACCAAGGCAAUGAUGCAUAGCCGAGUUGAGAGACUGAUCGGCCACAUUGGGACUGAGACACGGCCCAAACUCCUACGGGAGGCAGCAGUAGGGAAUCUUCCACAAUGGACGAAAGUCUGAUGGAGCAACGCCGCGUGAGUGAAGAAGGGUUUUCGGCUCGUAAAAGCUCUGUUGGUAGUGAAGAAAGAUAGAGGUAGUAACUGGCCUUUUAUUUUGACGGUAAUUACUUAGAAAGUCACGGCUAACUACGUGCC